rnacentral:lncRNA from 1 species
GAAGGCUUGAAUAUCGAAGGUUCAUCUGUAUCUCUGUUUGUCGGUGGAGAACAACAGGUAGUGCAUUCUCAGAGUGUUCUUUUUCCAUCACACUGAAUAACGCUGCACUGUUACAGGCUUUAAAGGCAGAGAAGGUGUUAACUGUUUUUUUUUUCUUUGACAAAUCAGAGUACUGUUUUUGUUUCCCUUUAUACGAUCCCCUGAUAACUUCAGAUUUGUCGUUCUGUUUAUUUCUGUCUGCACUAAUAACACUCACUAAGUACAGUCAGAACUAUUUAAUCAGAUACGCCAAGCAUGUUGUCCACUGGAGUACCCAUCAUUAGCCGCAUCCAAAUCCAACCUGCAUUAUUGGGUAAGGUAUAAGUAACAAAUAUAAUGCCCAUUAAAAUUUAGGUGGGUGUAACACCCACUUACUUAUUUUACUAAUGCCUUGUGAGGCACAGCUUUUAGGUC